UGAGGAAUAUUGGUCAAUGGGCGAGAGCCUGAACCAGCCAAGUAGCGUGAAGGAUGACUGCCUAUGGGUUGUAAACUUCUUUUAUAAAGGAAUAAAGUCGGGUAUGGAUACCCGUUUGCAUGUACUUUAUGAAUAAGGAUCGGCUAACUCCGUGCC
rnacentral:rRNA from 1 species